AGGCCCCGGCCCCGGCCCGCGGCAGCUGAACGGCAGAGCCUGUAGCUGCACAGCUGUGCUUCCACCUGGCGUUCAGUACCUCGUGCCCGAGAGCGGAAAAGGGAAAUCGCGAGCGGAGGACCGAUGUGCUGGCCACGUGGGCCCCGCCGGGCCGACUCCGGACCCUGCUGCCGCCCAUUCCUCCGGUGCAAGGGACCUGGAAAUGGGUCCUGGCCUGCGGAGGUAGUUUCCCCUGUGAAGCCAGGGACUCAGCCAGGAGCGUGAGGGGACCCGGAUCCUGAGUCUCCAAGCCGCCCACUACCCUCUGCUUUACCGGAUGGAACUCAUCAGUAACUAGGUCUGAGGCACAGUCAGUGAAUACCUGUUUAAUGAAUGCAUGCAUAAAUGAAUGAAUGGAUGAUCCAGCUCUUCCUGGAGCAGGCACGACUUCCACAGAAACAGAGCAAACGCUAGCCGUAAGCAGAAUGUCCUGCACUGCCAGAAUCGCCCAGCUUCCCGGCACACCUAUCAACCAGUCGUUCCCAGCACUGCCCAGUAUGCAGCCUCCAGGCAGAGGGCCUGGAUGUCUUGGCAGCCCACCCCAAAGCCCAAACUCCUGCCCGCAUGCUGGGAAGGUGAGCCCUUGCCUGGAGAGCCCAGCAGGGGAAAUAGAAGGAGGGAAGGAGGCCUGCUCCUUCCCCGGAGCUCUGCUCUGCGGCUGCAGGAAGACCCGCAGAGGCCCUGGGCAGCAGAACUGUGGACAGCAAGGCUGGAGUUGUGAAACCCAACCACUCAGCUGGAUUCCAGAAGCUCAGGUGGUGGUGACUAAACCUGGCCUUACUUAAAAUGCAUGACUUUAUUGUCUUUCAAUGUAUUUUCAGUAAACUUCAUCCUCUCCAUUA
rnacentral:lncRNA from 1 species